rnacentral:rRNA from 1 species
UUCGGGGGGUGCGAGCGUUAAUCGGAAUAACUGGGCGUAAAGGGCACGCAGGCGGACUUUUAAGUGAGGUGUGAAAUCCCCGGGCUUAACCUGGGAAUUGCAUUUCAUACUGGGAGUCUAGAGUACUUUAGGGAGGGGUAGAAUUCCACGUGUAGCGGUGAAAUGCAUAGAGAUGUGGAGGAAUACCUAAGGCGAAGGCAGCCCCUAGGGAAUGUACUGACGCUCAUGUGCGAAAGCGUGGGGAGCAAACAGG